AGAGUUUGAUCCUGGCUCAGGAUGAACGCUAGCGGCAGGCCUAACACAUGCAAGUCGAACGGUAAGGCCCAGCUUGCUGGGUACACGAGUGGCGCACGGGUGAGUAACGCGUAUGCAACCUGCCUCGAACAGGAGGAUAGCCCCGAGAAAUUGGGAUUAAUACUCCAUAACACCAUUUGGUCGCAUGGCCAUUUGGUUAAAGCCCCGGCGGUUCGAGAUGGGCAUGCGUGACAUUAGUUAGUUGGUGGGGUAACGGCCCACCAAGACGGCGAUGUCUAGGGGUUCUGAGAGGACAGUCCCCCACACUGGUACUGAGACACGGACCAGACUCCUACGGGAGGCAGCAGUGAGGAAUAUUGGUCAAUGGGUGCAAGCCUGAACCAGCCAUGCCGCGUGCAGGAUGACUGCCCUAUGGGUUGUAAACUGCUUUUCCUGGGGAAGAACACCCGCCACGUGUGGCGGAUUGACGGUACCCGGGGAAUAAGCACCGGCUAACUCCGUGCCAGCAGCCGCGGUAAUACGGAUGGUGCAAGCGUUAUCCGGAUUUAUUGGUUUUAAAGGGUGCGUAGGCGGGCUAUCAAGUCAGUGGUGAAAUCCCGUGGCUCAACCACGGAACUGCCAUUGAAACUAGUAGCCUUGAGUGCGGUUGAAGUGGAUGGAAUGUGUCAUGUAGCGGUGAAAUGCAUAGAUAUGACACAGAACACCGAUAGCGAAGGCAGUCCACUAAAACCGCCACUGACGCUGAGGCACGAAAGCGUGGGUAGCGAACAGGAUUAGAUACCCUGGUAGUCCACGCCGUAAACGAUGAUAACUCGAUGUGUGCGAUAAACUGUACGCGUCCAAGCGAAAGUGUUAAGUUAUCCACCUGGGAAGUACGUCCGCAAGGAUGAAACUCAAAGGAAUUGACGGGGGCCCGCACAAGCGGAGGAGCAUGUGGUUUAAUUCGAUGAUACGCGAGGAACCUUACCUGGGCUUAAAUGCAAGAUGACUUCGGCCGAAAGGUCGUUUUCUUCGGACAUUUUGCAAGGUGCUGCAUGGUUGUCGUCAGCUCGUGCCGUGAGGUGUCGGGUUAAGUCCCAUAACGAGCGCAACCCCUAUCCUCAGUUGCCAGCACGUAAUGGUGGGGACUCUGGGGGAACUGCCUACGCAAGUAGAGAGGAAGGUGGGGAUGACGUCAAAUCAGCACGGCCCUUAUGUCCAGGGCUACACACGUGCUACAAUGGCCCGUACAGAGGGCCGCUACCUGGCAACAGGAUGCUAAUCUCUAAAACGGGUCUCAGUUCGGAUCGGAGUCUGCAACUCGACUCCGUGAAGUUGGAUUCGCUAGUAAUCGCGUAUCAGCAAUGACGCGGUGAAUACGUUCCCGGGCCUUGUACACACCGCCCGUCAAGCCAUGGGAGUUGGGGGUACCUGAAGUCGAUAACCGCAAGGAGUCGCCUAGGGUAAAACCGAUGACUGGGGCUAAGUCGAAACAAGGUA
rnacentral:rRNA from 1 species